GACGUAGGGCGCGAGCGUUGUCCGGAUUUAUUGGGCGUAAAGAGCUCGUAGGCGGCUUGUUACGUCGACUGUGAAAAACCCGCGGCUCAACUGCGGGCCUGCAGUCGAUACGGGCAGGCUAGAGUUCGGUAGGGGGAGACUGGAAUUCCUGGUGUAGCGGUGAAAUGCGCAGAUAUCAGGAGGAACACCCGGUGGCGAAGGCGGGGUCUCUGGGGCCCGAUACUGACGUGAGGAGCGAAAGCGUGGGGGAGCGAACAGG
rnacentral:rRNA from 1 species